UUUCCGGUUGAUCCCGCCGGAGGCCACUGCUAUUGGGGUUCGACUAAGCCAUGCGAGUCUAUGGACUUCGGUCCAUGGCGGACGGCUCAGUAACACGUGGCUAACCCACCCUCAGGUGGGGGAUAACCUCGGGAAACUGAGGGUAAUACCCCAUAGGGGAAGAGGUCUGGAAUGAUCCUUCCUUGAAAGGACAUCCGCCUGAGGAUGGGGCUGCGUCCGAUUAGGUAGUUGGUGGGGUAAUGGCCCACCAAGCCUACGACCGGUACGGGCCUUGAGAGAGGAAGCCCGGAGAUGGGGACUGAGACACGGCCCCAGGCCCUACGGGGCGCAGCAGGCGCGAAACCUCCACAAUGCACGAAAGUGCGAUGGGGGAACCCCAAGUGCCUAUGCACAGCAUAGGCUUUUCCCAAGUGUAAACAGCUUGGGGAAUAAGGGCUGGGCAAGUCCGGUGCCAGCGGCCGCGGUGACACCGGCGGCCCGAGUGGUGGCCACUCUUAUUGGGCCUAAAGCGUCCGUAGCCGGUCCGGUAAGUCCCUGUUUAAAUCCUACGGCUCAACCGUAGGGCUGGCAGGGAUGCUGCUGGACUUGGGACCGGGAGAGGACGAGGGUACUCCAGGGGUAGCGGUGAAGUGUGUUGAUCCCUGGAGGACCACCUAUGGUGAAGGCACUCGUCUGGAACGGGUCCGACGGUGAGGGACGAAAGCCAGGGGCGCGAACCGGAUUAGAUACCCGGGUAGUCCUGGCCGUAAACUCUGCGGACUAGGUGUCACCUGGGCCUUGGGCCCAGGUGGUGCCGAAGGGAAGCCAUUAAGUCCGCCGCCUGGGGAGUACGGUCGCAAGACUGAAACUUAAAGGAAUUGGCGGGGGAGCACCACAACGGGUGG
rnacentral:rRNA from 1 species